GAUGAACGCUGGCGGCGUGCCUAAUACAUGCAAGUCGAGCGAACGGACGAGAAGCUUGCUUCUCUGAUGUUAGCGGCGGACGGGUGAGUAACACGUGGAUAACCUACCUAUAAGACUGGGAUAACUUCGGGAAACCGGAGCUAAUACCGGAUAAUAUUUUGAACCGCAUGGUUCAAAAGUGAAAGACGGUCUUGCUGUCACUUAUAGAUGGAUCCGCGCUGCAUUAGCUAGUUGGUAAGGUAACGGCUUACCAAGGCAACGAUGCGUAGCCGACCUGAGAGGAGGAUCGGCCACACUGGAACUGAGACACGGUCCAGACUCCUACGGGAGGCAGCAGUAGGGAAUCUUCCGCAAUGGGCGAAAGCCUGACGGAGCAACGCCGCGUGAGUGAUGAAGGUCUUCGGAUCGUAAAACUCUGUUAUUAGGGAAGAACAUAUGUGUAAGUAACUGUGCACAUCUUGACGGUACCUAAUCAGAAAGCCACGGCUAACUACGUG
rnacentral:rRNA from 1 species